rnacentral:lncRNA from 1 species
CCCGCUUUCCCAGGCCGGGUGGAAUUCCUAUCUCACUUUCCUCGGCUUGAGUUUCUCUGUGGGCAAUGGCUCCGGACUCAGGUCCCCUUCCUGAAGAGCCGCUCUUAAAGGUGCUACCCUUAGACGCUAAGGACAGGGGCACUCAGCGCUGUCGCUUGGGCCCGUCCGCCCUCCGCGCUUUGGGCGCGCACUUGGGCUCGGCGGUGAAGAUCUCUCUGCCUGACGGCGGCUCCUGCGUCUGCACUGCCUGGCUGCGGCGGGACGGAGCAGACGGCUUUGUUCAACUGGAUCCGCAGUGCGCGAGCCCCGGGGCGGCCGUGGAGGCUUCAGGGUUCCGGGGUAAUCUCCGCUUAAGCAGCCUCCGCCUGGUGUCCUGCCCGUCGCUGCGGCACCUCAGUGUGUGGCCGGUGUUGCGGGAGGGGGCGGGCGCGCCCGGGGCCUCGAAUCCAGCCGCGGUACUGGAGGCGGCGCAGGAGCUUCUCAGGAACCGACCUGUCUCCCGGGGCCACGUGGUGACCGCUCCGCCGGGCGCCCCGGGUCCCGUAGCCGCGCUGCACAUCGUCAGCGGGGCGCCCAGCCCGGAUCCGGCCGGGCUAGUCACUCCUCGCACCCACAUCGGUCUCAGCGGGGUGCCUCCGUCGGAAGCGGAGCCACGGCCCGAGGUGCCCUUGGGGGGCCUUUCGGAGGCGGUCGACUCGCUGCGGGAGCUCCUCAGCCUGCCGCUCCGCUACCCUCGCACCUUGGCGGCCCUGGGGCUGGCAGUGCCUCGCGGGGUGCUCCUGGCGGGUCCCCCCGGAGUGGGCAAGACUCAGCUAGUGCGGGCCGUGGUCCGGGAAGCGGGCGCGGAGCUGCUGGCAGUGAGCGCCCCCGCGCUACAGGGCGCCCGGCCCGGGGAGACCGAGGAGAACGUGAGGCAGGUCUUCCGGCGCGCGCGGGAGCUGGCCAGCCGCAGACCCACCCUCCUCUUCCUGGACGAGUUGGACGCCCUGUGUCCCCGGCGGGGCGGCCCACACCGAGCCCCCGAGAGCCGCGUGGUGGCCCAGGUGUUGACGCUGCUAGACGGCAUCAGUGGGGACCGCGAGGUGGUGGUCGUGGCAUCCACCAACCGGCCGGACGCUCUAGACCCAGCGCUGCGCAGACCGGGGAGAUUUGACCGAGAGGUAAAUGGGCGGGGCCAGUCUGACCUUUGUUCCUGGAACCUCGGCCUCUUCUGGCCUUGAUUGGCUGCCCCUAGGCGGUUGCCACUUAGGUUUGGCAGUCGGUGAGGCUGGAGUGGGGCUUUGUGUGGUGCAGAGAACCUGUUCUCUGUCCUUGUGUGAUCUGUGAGCCGGGGCCUGUUUUUCCCGAGUCAAAUUGAGAAGCAAGGUGGCCUUUAGGGAUGAGUUUUGUUGUGCAGGUCCUGAAGAUGAGUACCACCAGUAAUGUUAAUUGGGGAACUAGUUCAGCUAUAAGUGUAUUCAACUCUUAUGGAUUUGGAAUGAAAAUUAAAAUUAGGAUAGCUUCAAGAAAUGAGUGUGUUGAAAUAAAAAGGGAGAAGUCGGGAAAGAUCUAAAUCAAAGCAGGCAUUAAUUCUUCUGGACUUAUUCAUUCCUUGUCAGGACACCAGCAUCCUGACCCACAAGUGAGAAAUUACCCACAAUUGCUCUCUGAGUUGCCAGAAAGAUUGAGUACUCAAAAGCUGAACUAUUUUACAAGCUUUAGUCCCAAAUUGAUUCCUGAUUAAAUAGUUUGAAUAGUGGUUAAGUGAUAUUUGAACUUUGUGUUAGGAAUCUAAAGAGACAGAUGAUAAUUGCACACUUUUAGCUUAAUCUGUGCAUAACUUGAGCACAUUUGUUUCUUUUUUGCAUCAUCUAGUACUUGUCUCCUGAAUAAAAUCCAUAAGGGCAGGGACCUAGACUAUCUGGUUUACUGUUGCACCCUUGGCUGGUAGAACUUGGGAAGUUGUAAAAAAUAACAAAAUGUUGUUAAAUGACAUACAGAGGGCCUCUGGUUUUAUGGUGGUGUGAAUGCCAUAGUCAUUCAGUAGGAAACGUAUUUUGAAUUUUGAUCUUUUGCCAAGCUAGCAAUAUACUGUAAAAUGCUCUCUUGUGAUACUGGGCAGCCACGAGAUCAUGAGGGUAAACAGCUGACACGUUGACAACCGUUUUAUACUCAUCCAAACAUUCUGUUUUUCACUUUCAUACAGUAUUCAAUAAAUUGUAUGAGAUACUCAAAACUUUAUUGUAAAAUAGGUUUUGUGCUAGAUGAUUUUGCUGAACCACCAGCUGAUAAUGUAAGUGCUCUGAGCAUAUUUAAGUAGGCUAGGUUAAGCUGUGAUGUUCAGUACGUUAGGUAUAUUAAAUGCAUUAUCCGCUUACUGUAAUUCCAGCUUAUGAUGCAUUUAUUGGGAUGUAACCCCAUCUUAAGGUGAGGAAGAUCUGUAUGUAAUUUUCAUUGUGCAACUAUCCAGCCAGUGUUACUCCUCUGGAAAAUUAGGAUUUUAAUAUAUUCAGAAUCUAUGGCAUCCUUAAGAGUACAUAGUUGUAGUGCCAAAUUUGCUCAGUAAGUAUACACCUUUGAGAGGAUAUAAAUAUUAUACAAUGUUUUAAGCUGUGUAAGCUUUAAUUUCUCUUUUUUUGCUUUGCAUAUAGGUUGUCAUUGGGACUCCCACACUUAAACAAAGAAAGGCGAUACUCCAGGUGAUUACCUCAAAGAUGCCCAUCUCCAGUCAAGUCGAUUUGAGCCUCCUUGCAGAAAUGACAGUUGGUUACGUUGGUGCGGACUUGACUGCACUUUGUAGAGAAGCUGCCCUGCAUGCUCUCCUUCAUAGUAAGAAG